GUGUUUAAGUUUUGCCGGAGAAGAGUGGACGCAACGGAAGUCUCUCUUUUUUUCUUUCUUGCUCAGCGCAAGUGACAUUUAGGGAAGGUGGUUUCUUGAUCAGCACAAGUUACAUUUAAGGGAAGUGGUCACUGCAGUGAUUAUGUUGCUGACCUCGCUUAGUUGCGGUCAGUAAACGAAAGAAUAGAUGUAUUGUGAUUGAAGAACACAGGCGUUUUAUAAAGAAUAGAUCGCCUGGAAAUAGUGAGUGCACCAGUACUACCACACAUGGAAUGGAGACACACUGGGAGGAUCUUGCCUUUCUGGAUUCUAGAAUGAUGUGAGAUCUGACGGUUCUGGGAACAUUGGUGAUUCUCUGCUCUCUUGGUGUUUCGUCCUCUUUUACCUGCCUAGUUGGAGUGUGGAGACGUGGAUGUCAUAUUAUAGUCGAGUUUGAACCUCACCCACCCUGAGGACUGAGGACUGAGACCCUCCUCUGUCCUGUUCCGUCCUGCUUCCAGGCAACAUGAUGGAGCCCCUAGUCGACCGGCCCGGGCCCCAGAUAGGAAGGUCCUCUCUGGGGGAGAGAAUGGCCUCCUGCUGCUCCUACAGAACCCUCCAGGCCUGGCUCCCCAUCCUCACCUGGUUACCCAAGUACAGGCUGAGCUGGCUCCAGAUGGACCUGAUAGCAGGUCUCACCGUGGGUCUAACCACCGUACCACAGGCCCUGGCUUAUGCUGAGGUGGCCGGCCUACCUGUACAGUACGGCUUGUACUCAGCCUUCAUGGGUGGGUUCAUCUAUACGUUUCUGGGAACCUCCAAGGAUGUAACCCUGGGUCCUACUGCCAUCAUGUCCCUGCUGUGUGCCUCCUACGUGGGGGGAGACCCGGUCCGAGCCGUCCUCCUCAGCCUGAUCUGUGGAACCAUACAGACCGCCAUGGCUCUACUACGUUUGGGGUUUCUUCUGGACUUCAUCUCAUUUCCGGUGAUCAAAGGCUUCACCUGUGCUGCCGCGGUAACCAUAGGCUUCGGUCAAGUCAAGAAUGUGCUGGGACUGAAGGACAUACCUCAUGAGUUCUUCCUGCAGGUCUACUACACCUUCUACAGGAUACCCGAGACCAGGAUAGGAGACGUGGUUCUAGGUCUGCUGUGUCUGUGUCUGCUGGUGACGUUGCAGUGGAUGAAGAGUACCCUGGAACCCCCGUCAGAACAGAACGCCCUCCUCACCAGGGCCGCUCACAGUCUGGUCUGGGGCAUCGCUACCGUGCGUAAUGCGUUGGUCGUAGUGGCGGCGACCUUCGUGGCGUUCUCAUGGAACGCGUUUGGCUCACCGGUCUUCACCAUUACCGGGAAAACAUCCCAGGGCCUGCCGCCGUUCAGAGCCCCUCCCCUCUUUGAGACCACGCCCAACGGUACCAGCAUCAGCUUCGGAGAGAUCAUAGAGGAUUUUGGAGGAGGGCUGGCUGUCAUCCCCUUCAUGGGAGUACUGGAGAGCAUUGCCAUCGCUAAAGCCUUCGCCAGUCAGAAUGACUAUAGGAUCAAUGCCAACCAGGAACUGUUUGCUAUUGGUCUAACCAACAUUAUGGGAUCCUUCGUCUCAGCCUAUCCGGUCACAGGAAGCUUCGGAAGGACUGCAGUGAACUCCCAGACAGGGGUGUGUACUCCAGCCGGAGGCAUAGUCACUGGUGUGGUAGUGCUGUUGUCCCUGGCCUUCCUGAUGCCAGCGUUCUACUACAUCCCUAAAGCCUCUCUGGCAGCAGUCAUCAUCUGUGCUGUGGCUCCCCUGGUCGACUACCGCGUCGUCAUGCAGUUCUGGAGGAUACGCAAGCUUGAUCUGGUGCCGUUCCUGAUCACCUUCCUGUUGAGUUUCUGGGAGGUGCAGUACGGCAUUGUGGGAGGUGUAGUUGUUUCUGGACUCAUGCUGCUCUACAAUGUAGCCAGGCCCAGCAUAAAGGUGUGUGAUCAUGGUGUUUUGGUGAUGGAGUUAGAUAGUGGACUCAGUUUCCCCUCCACAGAGUACCUCAACACUGUCCUAUACACUCAGGCACUGCAGGCCUCUCCUCCUAGGUCAGUGGUCCUGGACUGUCAUCAUGUCAAUACUGUAGACUAUACAGUUGUCAACGAGCUCAGGGACCUGCUACGACAGUUCAAACUACGAGGGGUCGGACUCAUCUUCUCUGGCCUGCAGUAUUCGGUCUUGGAGGUCCUGUUGGCAGCAGACCUGCCGGAUCUUAGACACACCGCCAGUGUGGAGGCGGCACUAACCAUCCUAUCGGGUAGCACUCAGUGACUGACACUGCAACCAACCAAUCACAGACGAGAACAGUGAUAUAUAUAUAUAUAUUUUAUGCUGUCCUGAACCAAUUCCUGCUGAGUACACCGAUUUACACUCGACUCAACGGACCCUGACACUGAAAUCAGAAUGAUUGGUAUGGAUCUGGACCAAUCAGGGUACAGCGGUGGCCAAGAAUGUCCCGCCCCCUCACCAAUUGAUUGGCUGUCAAGCAGUUGACAGGUUGUCAAUCCCCUUUUUUUAACCAAGCAUGAGAACCGAUCUCUUAUGCUUUUCCACUUUGAAGAUGCUGCUGUGUGAUCGGUUUCAUCUUGUAGCUUUUAUAAUGACUUUUAUGUUGUUGAAGUUAUCUGUAGACACUGAUCAAGUCUAGAGUAGGUUUGUGGUUUCUAUCACUAAUGGACAUUUGAAUGUCUCAGUGUGCAGUUUGAAGGUAGUUUCUGGCUCAUUGCUAACUAGCGUUAGCAUAAUGACGGGAAGUUUACAGGAACAGCUAGCACACACACACUACCUUUAUCCUGGGUCUGUUUUAACACGUUUGCUCUGUGCGUUAACCCCUUCAGAGCCAACAUACACAGAGGAACUGGAGGACAGGAAAUCACUUCUCAGGAAGUGACGUAAGGAAAGAAGCCCCACCCUCUCAGCACUUAACUUCCUGUUUGUGUUCCAAAUCAAAAUUCCAAAUCCUUUCCAAGCCCCUACCCCUGUGUCCCAAUCCUGGUCCCGCGGACCCUUAAGGGGGGCACAUUUUAGUUUUCUGCACUCACAAACCUGAUUCAACCAAAUGCUUGAUGAGAAGUUUAUUAGUUGAAUCAAGCUAAAAACAAAACCUGUGCACCGCCUUGGCUCCCCGGACCAGGAUUGGGAAGCCCUCACCGGAGUCAGUGUGUGUGGAUAGGUGGAAGCAAUAUGGAGGAAAUAGCACUUAACCUGUCCAGAGAUAUAACUGUAUAUCUAAUACCUAUGGAAUGUUUUGAUUUGAUUUACAUAGGUGUUAGGUCUCUAUCUGGUAUAGGACGUGUUAAAUAUCCUUAGACUGGUGAGGUACUUACACUAUUGCAACUUUGUUUUUAACUGUUCUUCUUAUACGCAUUAAUACAUAUAAUAUAUUAUUGUAUACAUUUGCUUGAUCAAUUAGACUUUGAUAAAUUACAAUUAUUGAUCACUUUCAAAUUGAUCAAUUGUACUUUAUUGGUUGCCUCUAUUGGAUGAGAAGUUGACUGUCUCCUACUCUCUCUCUGUGUGUGUGUGUGUGUGUGUGUGUGUGUGUGUGUGUGUGUGUGUUUGUUUGUUUACCUGUACGAUCAUGACCAUAAGAAGAAUAUCACAUUCCAAAUGGUUUGUGCCUUGCAUGUUCUGCACUUAAUACAAUUAUUAUGUUGUUUUUUAACACUUUGAAACUUUCUAAUUCUUACUUAGAAAUGUAUUUGAUAAGACUGACAAUUUGUAUCCAGCUCCAAACUUAGUUUUAUGCAGUGAAUUAACCAGUGUUGUAAAGUGCUUAAGUAAAGAUACUUUAAAGUAC